rnacentral:sRNA from 1 species
AGUGCGCGCGGCGGCGGCCGACGGCGGCGGAGCUGUGCUGCGCGGCGCGGCACGGCACGGUGGGAGUGUCUCCGGCUGGUCUGCAGGGAGGACACCGACUGAGACCACAAACCCUGGCUCCAGUGUCAUGGAAUCAGUCACCUUUGAGGAUGUGGCCGUGGAGUUCAUCCAGGAGUGGGCAUUGCUGGACAGUGCACGGAGGAGCCUGUGCAGAUACAGGAUGCUGGACCAGUGCAGGACCCUGGCCUCCAGGGGAACUCCACCAUGCAAACCCAGUUGCGUCUCCCAGCUGGGGCCAAGAGCAGAGCCACGGGCAACAGAACAAGGGAUUCUCCAUGCCACAGGUGUAGCCUGGGAAUCUCAACUUAAACCCAAAGAGUUGCCUUCUAUGCAGGAUCUUUUGGAAGAAGCAUCCUCCAGGGACAUGCAAAUGGUAAGAUGCGCGGGGUUUUCCCCGGCUUCCAGCAUGGGAGCAGUUGAGGAACACGUGAGGUGGAAAUACAGGACCAGAGCCAGGGAGAUGUUAGCAGCGUGGGUGUCUCUUGGAAGGGAAAUGGUGUCUG